UAUCAAAAAAAUUCAUUCAUUUUAUUGUUAAAAAUUGACAUGACUGACUAGAAAGUUACAUAUGACAUGCCACAUAUACCUCGUUCUGACGUACAAUGACUAAUUUUUAAUGGUAAAAAUAGAUGAAUUUUUAACA
rnacentral:pre_miRNA from 1 species